GGCCGCGGGAAUUCGAUUCAGGCCUAACACAUGCAAGUCGAGCGGGGUUUUCGGACCUAGCGGCGGACGGGUGAGUAAUGCGUAGGAAGCUACCCGACAGAGGGGGAUACCAGUUGGAAACGACUGUUAAUACCGCAUAAUGUCUACGGACCAAAGUGUGGGACCUUCGGGCCACAUGCUGUCGGAUGCGCCUACGUGGGAUUAGCUAGUUGGUGAGGUAAUGGCUCACCAAGGCGACGAUCCCUAGCUGGUUUGAGAGGAUGAUCAGCCACACUGGAACUGAGACACGGUCCAGACUCCUACGGGAGGCAGCAGCGGGGAAUAUUGGACAAUGGGCGCAAGCCUGAUCCAGCCAUGCCGCGUGUGUGAAGAAGGCCUUCGGGUUGUAAAGCACUUUCAGCGAGGAGGAAGGGUUGUGUGUUAAUAGUACACAGCCUUGACGUACUCGCAGA
rnacentral:rRNA from 1 species